CGGGGUGUAGCUCAGCCCGGUUAGAGUGCACGUCUGGGGGGCGUGAGGUCGUUGGUUCGAAUCCAAUCACCCCGA
rnacentral:tRNA from 1 species